AAUUUCUUCAAUGUUGAAGGAAAUUCUUUCGAUACCUUCUGAAAUAUAGAAGUCAAACAAUUCGUCUGGCUGGCUCAGGGUCUCCCACGAGAGAACUGUGAUCACAUGGAACGGCACACCAGAAUCCCGGAGAAA
rnacentral:sRNA from 1 species